GAUGAACGCUGGCGGCGUGCCUAAUACAUGCAAGUCGAGCGAACGGACGAGAAGCUUGCUUCUCUGAUGUUAGCGGCGGACGGGUGAGUAACACGUGGAUAACCUACCUAUAAGACUGGGAUAACUUCGGGAAACCGUAGCUAAUACCGGAUAAUAUUUUGAACCGCAUGGUUCAAAAGUGAAAGACGGUCUUGCUGUCACUUAUAGAUGGAUCCGCGCUGCAUUAGCUAGUUGGUAAGGUAACGGCUUACCAAGGCAACGAUGCAUAGCCGACCUGAGAGGGUGAUCGGCCACACUGGAACUGAGACACGGUCCAGACUCCUACGGGAGGCAGCAGUAGGGAAUCUUCCGCAAUGGGCGAAAGCCUGACGGAGCAACGCCGCGUGAGUGAUGAAGGUCUUCGGAUCGUAAAACUCGGUUAUUAGGGAAGAACAUAUGUGUAAGUAACUGUGCACAUCUUGACGGUACCUAAUCAGAAAGCCACGGCUAACUACGUG
rnacentral:rRNA from 1 species